UACGUAGGGUGCAAGCGUUAAUCGGAAUUACUGGGCGUAAAGCGUGCGCAGGCGGCUUUGCAAGACAGAUGUGAAAUCCCCCGGGCUUAACCUGGGAACUGCAUUUGUGACUGCAUGGCUAGAGUGCGGCAGAGGGGGAUGGAAUUCCUGGUGUAGCGGUGAAAUGCGCAGAGUAUCAGGAGGGAACACCGGUGGGCGGAAGGCGGGUCUCUGGGCCGAUAACUGACGCU
rnacentral:rRNA from 1 species